rnacentral:rRNA from 1 species
UACGUAGGGCGCAAGCGUUGUCCGGAAUUAUUGGGCGUAAAGAGCUCGUAGGCGGCCUGUUACGUCUGCUGUGAAAUCCCGGGGCUUAACCCCGGGCGUGCAGUGGAUACGGGCAGGCUGGAGGCAGGCAGGGGAGAACGGAAUUCCUGGUGUAGCGGUGAAAUGCGCAGAUAUCAGGAGGAACACCGGUGGCGAAGGCGGUUCUCUAGGCCUGUACUGACGCUGAGGAGCGAAAGCGUGGGGAGCGAACAGG